rnacentral:lncRNA from 1 species
AUAUCCGUACAUAUAAAUUUUAAUUAAUAUAGGUAUUUAAAAAAUAUAGGUAUAGGUUGAAAUAUCGGAAAGCAAAAUUUUUAUUUGGUUAUUGUUGCUGCGCAUUAUUGGAAUAACGGUGCAUAAGUUAUAUGCCGAAAUGGCACAAUUGUGAUUUCUUUGCCGCCACGAUCUGAAGUUAAUCCCGAGAGUUGGUGCUGCGAUCAAAUUGAGAAAAAUAUUUCGUAGUUAAUAUUAUAAGAUUUUAAGUCCUGUACACUUGCAAAUGAAAAUUCGAGGCCACGCACUCAACGUCUUCGUGCUAACACCUUAAGACAACGAGGGGCACGUCAACAAGCGACCAACGCACACAGAGAGCAUAACCAACGACGAAUGCAGGAUAAUCGAGCACCACUUAAUCGUCUCGCGUUUGAAUAUGAUCCUGAAAUAAACUAUUCGUCACAUCCAUUAAUCCCGAUCGGUAGUAUGGAAAAAGAGUGCCGACAUUGUCAUGCCUUUAAGUACAAAGGUGAAUCAGCUGGUUUAUGUUGCGCAUAUACCGCCGGAGCCUUUAAAAACUCUUUUAGCUGGAACCACAUCUUAAUUGAAAUUGUUUUUGCGGAAAGUUCCUAAAUUCAAUUGCUGCUUUCAAAUGACGUCAUUUAGAGCAACAAAAAUUGUUCAUUAUAGAUGGUCGGAAUUUUGAAUUUUCUUUUAGGAUUCAAGGUCAAGUGUGCCAUUGAAUCAGUACAAUGCUUCCAAUGCUUGAUGCCAAUAUACAAAUUUUUACAAAUUUAUUUUAUGGGAAAUGAGGAGCAACAAUCACAUACACGCUGCGCUUCCAACCAUUACAACGAGGAAUUUGGGACAUUUUGGAAACGUUUUUGAAAAACUAUAACCAAUUGGUACAAUUGUUCAAGACCUUUUCUAAGAGUCUGCAAAACGACAACGUCAUUGUCAUUAAAGCAGGCAAAGUGUGGAGAGUACGUAAGUGAAGUUGCAGUUGUUAUGGCUGGUAAAAUACAACGGAUAUAAACGUCGAGACAUACGCAUACAACGCAGAUAUAAUACGAUGCAAAUAAUUCAAGACAAACAUCGUUCUUACGAUGCUUUGCAGUAUCCGUUGUAAUUUUGGGAAGGAGAAGAUGGAUAUCAUUUAAAUAUUAAACAAAGGAAUCCAACUACAAUUGCAAAUUAUAGAUUAUCUUACAUUUAUUUUAAGUCAAUAAUUUCUGUUUUUCUCAUAAAUAUGUUCAUCUUCAGGUGAAGAACUGAUGAAGACAGUUAGUGCUAUGAAGUUUUACACAUAUACAUAGGUUGAUGAUUCGUGCUAUUGAAGACAACAACAUUCUUCGAUGCAGACAACUAUUUCAUCAGUACGUUGUGAAUAUAUGCAACAAAUGGCAUCAACAACAUCGGACCAGAUCUUUUUAUCCCAUUGGUGUGUAAUCCAAACUGGAAUGAAAUUUGCUGUUGUCAGGUCAAACAUCGAUACAUCGCCAAAAAAUCCGUGUUUUGUUCACGGUCAAUUAUAUGUUGCAUGUUCCAGAGUUGAAAAACCAUCGAAUUUGUUUCUUUAUACGCCUCAAGGAUUAAGCAAAAAUAUUGUACAUUCAAUGGCAUUACGAUAAACUAACUUUAUGUAAAUUAAAAUAUAUAUAUAUGUUACGAAGUAAAAUAGCUUGAUUGUAAUUAA